CAAUAGCGUAUAUUAAAGUUGUUGCAGUUAAAAAGCUCGUAGUUGGAUUUCUGGAUGGAGCGACCGGUCGGGCAUUAAUUUGUCUGCACUGGAGUCGGUUCCGUCCAUCCUCUUGGAAAGUGCGUGGGGCAUUAAGUUGUCUGGCGUAUGAUCCAAGUCGUUUACUGUGAAAAAAUUAGAGUGUUUAAAGCAGGCCUUCGCCUUGAAUACAUUAGCAUGGAAUAAUAAGAUAGGACUUUGGUCUAUUUUGUUGGUUUGCAGACCGAAGUAAUGAUUAAUAGGGAUAGUUGGGGGUAUUUAUAUUCCGAUGUCAGAGGUGAAAUUCUUAGAUUUUCGGAAGAUAAACUUAUGCGAAAGCAUUUACCAAGGAUGUUUUCAUUAA
rnacentral:rRNA from 1 species